UACGGAGGAUGCGAGCGUUAUCCGGAUUUAUUGGGAUUAAAGGGUGCGUAGGCGGAUUUUUAAGUCAGCGGUAAAAUGUCCGGGCUCAACCCCGGCCCGCCGUUGAAACUGGCAGUCUCGAGUUGGAGAGAAGUAUGCGGAAUGCGUGGUGUAGCGGUGAAAUGCAUAGAUAUCACGCAGAACUCCGAUCGCGAAGGCAGCCUACCGGCGCGCUACUGACGCUCAUGCACGAAAGCGUGGGGAUCGAACAGG
rnacentral:rRNA from 1 species